UGCGAUCUCAGCUCACUGCAACCUCCACCUCCCAGGUUCAAGCCAUCUUCCUGCCUCAGCCUCCCAAGUAGCUGGGAUUACAGGUGCUCGCCACCACACCCGGCUAAUUUUUGUAUUUUUUUUUUAGUAGAGAAGGGGUUUCACCAUGUUAACCAGGAUGGUCUCGAGCUCCUGACCUCAAGUGAUGCACCCACCUCGGCCUCCCAAAGUGCUGGGAUUACAGUGCCCGGCCCAGGCAGGACUAUUUUUAAGACAAUUGAGCAUGAUUUUAGAAGGCUGCACAAUUGACAUUUUGCCUACUUCCACGUUUCGGUACUUUUCCUGAACAAUGUUUCUUCGUUCCCCCUCUCCUAGUAACGGACAUUUACGUUGCUCUGAUUCUCUGCCAUCCCAAGCAGCACCAUGAGGAACAGCGCUAUGCAGGACCUUCUGCGGAUGCACCUGUGCCAGUCUGUCUGGCUGGGGCCUGCACACUCCGAGAAAGGACUGUGCACUCUGAGGAAGGACUGCGCAGUCUGAGGAAGGGCUGAGCACUCUUGUGGAAGUACCGCCCACUCUGAGGAAGGACCGUGCACUCUGAGGAAGGACUGCGCAGUCUGAGGAAAGGCUGCGCACUCUCGUGGAAGUACCGCCCACUCUGAGGAAGGACUGCUAGGUUGUCUCUCUGGAAAGUUUUCUGUUGCCCAUGCGGAGAAUAUUCAAGUUUUGUUUCGGCCUUCCAGAAUUUCCCUCCUGUUUGGGGGGGAUCAUCCUCCACUCCGUUAUACAGCCUCGGAGGCAGACACCACUCGUCAUCGGAUGUCAAACCAAAGCUCCCCCAGGCUUAGCAGUCACUUCCUGAAAGUCUGCAGCAGACGACACGGCUUCUCCCAGCCCGUCUUCUUCCCCACACGGUGGGCAUGGUAACGUCCUUAACAUGCACCUGUCAGUGUGAAAGCAGCAGGCUGAGAUCACACACCAAGUUCCCUAGAGUCGGGGUUUCAGCAUGUUAGCCGAGCUGGUCUUGAACUCCUGAGCUCAAGUGAUCCACCCACCCGAGCCUCCUAAAGUGUUGCGAUUACAGGUAUGAGCCACUGCACCCAGCCUUAUUUAAUUUUCAAAAACAGUCCCUUUUCAGGAGGGGCAUUACUACCAGUCCUGUCUUAGGAGGUGGGUGCUGAGGCCUGUGGUCACUUGCCCUUCCUGGAUAGCCUGGCACCUAAACCCUUCCCUGCACUGUUGAGUCUUGAAGGCAGACCUAGACUCCAGUGAUGUGCACUGGACCGUCCAGGUGGCUGUUUCCAGAUGCCCUCGCAGCCCGGCACAGGCUGUACCUGCCCCAGCCCUUGACACUGAGCCAGAAGCUGAAGCAGAGAGCAAGGCAGUGACCGUGGGGGGGCUUGGACGCAAGGUGGUACCGUGGCGGGCUCAGCCACAAGGCGGCAACCAUGGAGGGUUUGACAUAGAACCCCUCCCAGGCUCAGGCGCUGGGCACACAGGAACCAAAAGGACCAGGGUGAAGCCAGCCCCAAGACUGGGCGGCAGGGGAGUGGUCAGACCAGCGCUCUCAUCCUACGCUUUCCAAAGCCCGGCAACUGCCCUUCAUCCACCCGGCAGAGGCUACAGAUUUCCUCUCUGGAGAGAAGGAACCGGGGUUGCUCGCUGAGCUGACAAGAGGUGGCAUCCUGGAAAGAUGCAGCUGGCCAAAGCCUGCCCUCCAUACGGAGUCCCCCCCUCGGCCAAUGGCUCCAGCUAAAGGUGAGAGAAUUCCUUGCGUGGCAGAAUGGGCCACCCAAGACCUACCAACACUGACACUCAGGACCCCAGUCAAACAGAGUGGCCUUAGCAAGGGAGGUGGGUGCCAUUAUCAUCACUUGCGGAUGUGGAACUCAUGCCCAGAGGGUAUGACCAACCUGUAGGUUCCCAGCCAGGAAGCUGAAGGGCUCAGAUGCGAACCUGACUCAGUGUGGCACUCGGCAGGUCCCUUCCAGGAGCCUCAUCCCUGCCUCCGUAGGAUGGAGGUGGGGACAGCCCUCCUGAGGACACAUUUCCUGCACUGCCUCCCACAGCUGUGCCCAGACUCCCAGAGCCUCUCUCAUGCCAAGAGAGUCUGUGGUGGGAGCCAAGACAGCUGACCCCAGAAGCCCCGGGCACCCCAGACGCUCGGCCCUGGGAGGGUGGCUGUGCCGGACAGACUCCAGACAGAGCUCAGACUCCGGGUCUACACACAGUGACUUUAUUACUCUAUGGAUGCUGGUGAACUGCCCUCCCCAACCAGCUUCACGGGGGCAGGCAUCUCUGUCCAUCCCAUGCC
rnacentral:lncRNA from 10 species